rnacentral:lncRNA from 1 species
AAACAGGUUACAUAAAGCCAAAAAUAAGCAUAUUAAUGAUGGAAAGAAAUUAAAUUAAUUUUUCAUAAAUCUCGAAGAACUAACCAAGCGGGUUAUGCCGAAUCGUAGAAGAAACAGCAGCUCCAGCAGCUGAAGCCUCUGAAACUUCUGCCUUGUUGCUAUUGUUAUUACCUACUUCAAAGAGGAAACACAAUAAUGAGAAGCUAAUCUUGAUUUCUUGAUAGUUUGUCGAUAUGUAUAUAUUUAGGUGGAUACAACUUGCUGGAACUUUGUUCAAUAAUCAUUAACAGAUGCAAAAUCAUUAAAUCAAACUAAUAGGUAAAAAAGAAGGAGAAUAAAUUAAAUGCAAGAACUCCCCACAGCUGAUGCCGUCUAGCUAAGAAUUAAGCCUUUUCUUCAACAUUCGUAGAAACAUAUUUAGUUCACAGGCUUUCAGUUUUUAGCAGUCUCUUCUCAUCUUUAAAGCCCAUGAAUUGUACAGGAUAUACGUUCUUUAGUCCUGAGAAAUGAACUAAUAUAAUAAUAGAACAGUAGAACAUACACAACUUGUUGUGACCAUAUAAUUGAAACAGAAAACUUAAAAUGCAAAUGGGAUAAUCAUACAAUAAGAUUCAAUUACAAGGGAAGCAAGAAGAGGCUGUAGCUACAAAAUUAUUGAAUAAAUUUUGCUGUACAUUGAAUUUAAAUGGUUUAUCGGAAUAGCCAAGCAAAAAAUUCACAUUAAAGAGAGGAGAGAAAGUUAUUACCUUUGUUUAGCAUAGGGGCUCGGGGGACAACAAGAAUAAGAGGAAAAUUACAUAAAAGAAAGAAGAGAAACUUGUUGCUUUUCUUUAGCAUAGAGAAUCAGCGCACAAUAAGGAGAGUUAAAACGGUCGAAUACAAUUGAAAUUGAGAAGCAGCAAAACACAAACAGUAGUCAAGUAAUGCAUUGAACUUGAAAAAAGCUCAC